rnacentral:rRNA from 1 species
CCCGCUGCACUUAAGGAUAUCAUAUAAGCGGAGGAAAAGAAACUAACAAGGAUUCCCCUAGUAACUGCGAGUGAAGCGGGAAAAGCUCAAAUUUAAAAUCUGGUGGUCCCUGUGGACCUCCGAGUUGUAAUCUAGAGAAGUGCUAUCCGCCCUGGACCGUGUACAACUCUCCUGGAACGGAGCGUCAUAGAGGGCGAGAAUCCCGUCUUUGACACGGACUACCAGGGCUUAUGUGACGUGCUCUCAAAGAGUCGAGUUGUUUGGGAAUGCAGCUCUAAAUGGGUGGUAAAUUCCAUCUAAAGCUAAAUAUUGUCGAGAGACCGAUAGCGAACAAGUACCGUGAGGGAAAGAUGAAAAGAACUUUGGAAAGAGAGUUAAACAGUACGUGAAAUUGUUGAAAGGGAAACGCUUGAAGUCAGUCGCGUUGCCCAGAAAUCAACCUUGCUUUUGCUUGGAGUACUUUCUGGUUAACGGGUCAGCAUCAAUUUUGACCGGUGGAUAAAGGUCAGGCGAAUGUGGCCUCUUCGUAUGUGUUAUAGCCCUUGGCUGCAUACAUCGAUUGGGAUAGAGGAACUCAGCAUGCCGCACGCGCAGGUUUUUAACCACGAACAUGCUUAGGAUGCUGGCAUAAUGGCUUUAAUCGACCCCGCUUGAACAACGA